ACCGAAUAGAUACCCAGGUAGUCCACGCCCUAAACGAUGCGAACUGGAUGUUGGGUACAUUACGGUACUCAGUGUCGAAAGCUAUCGCGUUAAGUUCGCCGCCUGGGGAGUACGGUCGCAAGACUGAAACUCAAAGGAAUUGACGGGGGCCCGCACAAGCGGUGGAGUAUGUGGUUUAAAUUCGAUGCAACGCGAAGAACCUUACCUGGCCUUGACAUCUGUCGAAUCCUGCAGAGAUGCGGGAGUGCCGCAAGGAACGACAAGACAGGUGCUGCAUGGCUGUCGUCAGCUCGUGUCGUGAGAUGUUGGGUUUAAGUCCCGCAACGAGCGCAACCCUUGUCCCUAGUUGCCAGCACGUAAUGGUGGGAACUCUAGGGAGACUGCCGGUGACAAACCGGAGGAA
rnacentral:rRNA from 1 species